rnacentral:rRNA from 1 species
GAUGAACGCUGGCGGCGUGCCUAAUACAUGCAAGUCGAGCGAACAGACGAGGAGCUUGCUCCUCUGACGUUAGCGGCGGACGUGUGAGUAACACGUGUAUAACCUACCUGUCAGACUGGGAUCACUUGGGGAAACCGGAGCUAAUACCGGAGGAUCUAUUGAAGCGCGUUGGUCAAUGGUAAAAGACGGUUUUUGUGUAAGUUCUAGAUGGAUACGAGCCGCAUUAGCUGGUUGGUAAGGUAACGGCUUACCAAGGGAACGAGGCGUAGCCGACCUGAGAGGGUGAUCGGCCACAUUGGAACUGAGACACGGUCCAGACUCCUACGGGAGGCAGCAGUAGGGAAUCUUCCGCAAUGGGCGAAAGCUUGACGGAGCAACGCCGAGUGAGUGAUGAAGGUCUUGGGAUCGUAAAACUCUGUUAUUAGGGAAGAACAAAUGUGUAAGUAACUAUGCACGUCUUGACGGUACCUAAUCAGAAAGCCACGGCUAACUACGUG